rnacentral:lncRNA from 10 species
CAUCCUACCACAAUUCCCAUAAUAAAUAGACUGCACAAGAGUGAGAAGCAGCUUCUUGUGCUAGAUAAAACCAAGUUCCUGAUACCUGAUCACAUCUGCAUGAGUAAAUUGACAAAGUAUGGUGGGCAUUUUCUCACUGAUUUUUGAAGCAUAUGAAUCUAAGAAGGAUGGAGAUGGAUUCCUGUAUGUGCUAUAUGCCUCUCAGGAGAUACUUGGAAU